AUUUCUCUUCGUACGCAUAUGUGAUGCUUCAAAGAGUGACAAUAGAUACAAAUUUGACACCUUAACUUUGAAUACCUAUAUCUCCUUCAAAAAAACUCAAAAUCACACAAAAUCUUUAUCCAAAUUAUAUCCAAAACCAUGAACUUGGUGAUUCUAGCCUCUAAAGCUCAAAUGAAUUCGAAAGAGAAACCCAAAUUCCUAAUAAAGCCUCAGGCAGCCUCCUUGAAGCCCAUUAGGAAUUGCCUUCGACCAAUAGGGAUGAAGUUUCCCAUUCCUUGCCUUCAU
rnacentral:lncRNA from 1 species